GUCCACGCCGUAAACGGUGGGCGCUAGGUGUGGGGAACAUUCCACGUUCUCCGUGCCGCAGCUAACGCAUUAAGCGCCCCGCCUGGGGAGUACGGCCGCAAGGCUAAACUCAAAGGAAUUGACGGGGGCCCGCACAAGCGGCGGAGCAUGCGGCUUAAUUCGAUGCAACGCGAAGAACCUUACCUAGGCUUGACAGUUUGGGAAAUCUGGCAGAGAUGUCAGGUCCGCAAGGGCCCAAACAGGUGGUGCAUGGCUGUCGU
rnacentral:rRNA from 1 species